GAGGAGGAAGAGAAGAAGACGAGGAAGAGGAGGAAGAAGAAGGGGAUCCCCCUAAUGUCGCCCCCUUCUUCUUCUUCUUCCCUUGAGAGAAAAAAGUUAUUAUUUCUCUCCUUCCGUUCUCUCUCCCCGCAAAUCCAGCCCGAGACCCUCCUCGGGGCAGGGAAUAAGUUUCCCAAGUUGCGGCCUCCUUUGCCUCUUCCUCCUCGUCCUUCCUCUCCUUCUUCUCCCUUCAGCCCCGAAAGCACCCUCACAGGAGGGAGGAAGGGAGGGACAAAAUGGACAGAGGGAAGAAGGGGAGGAAGGGCAGCCGGCGAGUAACGGUCCUCGGCCUGAGGGAGAGCCAGAGCCAGAGCCAGAGCGAGAGCGGAGGCACCGCUAGGCGGGCGACGGCAGCACAGCACAGCCCAGCACAGCCCAGUGGCUGCUCGGCCGCCGAUGCCGCCGGAACCUCGUUGCCACGGGAGACCGGGCCCGCUUUACGGCAGCGCGUCCGUUCGAACCAGCGGAGAGGGAAAAGUUUUCAGGCCUGGCAGGGACUGAAGUGCACAAUAUUCCACCCACCCAGCUUGAAGCAUAUUUUAUAUAUGACUUCUGACAAUGACAUAUUUGACAAGAAGCAAUUACAAAAUUGAGUCAAGAGGACCUCUUGGUUGCUUAGCCUGACAACACGGUGCAUAACUUCUUCUUACAGCAAACGUUUCCUUCGCAGUUUCCAGGGACAACAGCUGGCGCUUUAAGCCAUCCUACCUCCUGCAAAUGGAUCUGUGACUGUAAUUUCAAAAGCUUUGGAUGUAGAGAUUGGAUGGCAGAGUGAUGACCUUUACCUUCAAAGCAGAAAAACUAUCCAUUCUAUUUAUUUUUCUGAUCCCUGAGAUUUCCCCGCUCCAUAUGCUUAUCCCUUAAUAGGCCGCUCAUGUAUAGAACUGGACCUUACAACAUUUCUUCGUGGCCUUGGUAUUUUCAGCAUUUGCUUUUUUCUAAUCCCUCAGAAAUCUUCCAUCUUCUGAUCAGUUGGCAUCAAUAAAGUAGUACGGUAAAGAUUUCCUAAGGCAAUCUUACACAGGAGUUAUGUAGGAGGCAAAAAUGUGUUUUGCACGCUUGCUCUCUUUCUCUCUUGUCUCUUUUAUUUUAAUGCAUGCCCAUUCCCUUGGGAAGCCCCAGGCCCUCAGGAGGAGACACACUAAGAGACUACGUUGCUCCAAAAUAGGCUGAAUAAAGCCUUCCUAACUUUAAGAGGAGCAAGUUGAAUCUUCAACCUCAGAAAGGCUCAAGAAAGAAAUAGUUAAACUGCCACAAACGUUCUAGCCAUAGUUGCCUGUAUGAUGAGUACGAUCUUACUUGGGGAAAUUGGGGAGGGAUGUACAGCAUCCCCUUCGAUAUUUCACAGAUGCAAAUUGGGGCAACUGUAUCUAAGGAAUGUCAGGCUGUGAUCAAGAUGGCAAAAGGUACUAAUGAGGAAGAACACACAAUUGAUGCUAGGAAAGGCUGUACCGACUUCCCUUUGCCCAAGUCUACUGGGAAGGGCAAGGGUCUGCUUUCUCCUGCUGAAUUAAUAGAGUAAAAACUACUUUUGCAUUUUGAACUCCCUCUUUUCCUUUGUUUUAAUGGUCCAGUCUGCCAAUGUCUGGUUGUUGAUGUCCUUCAUUAUCCAACAUAUCUUCUUGGGCCCUUUUCUCUUUCUUUUUGGCUUCUUGCUCCUUAGUCCUGCCUUCUCUGAGCUUUUUGAGCCGCUGGCUUUUAUGCCCAAUGGUGCCUUAUGUGUUUUCUUCUCCACGUUGAUGUCUGUUGCUGGUUUGUGUACCUCUUGACAUUGCUGGAGGCAAAGCAUCACAACUGAUUAGUCUCCUUGCUUGUAACUCCAGGCUUUCAACUUUUUCCCAGUAACAAUUUGAGAUGAUCUUUGGAGGACCAAUGUGGGCUGCUGGCCUUGGGCCCUUUCCCUUUCUUUGCCAUCCCUUCAUGCGAAUCCUCUCAUUUUUUCUGAGUAGGUUGUGCCAAAUUGGUUUAUGCUUUCCUGACCUGGCUGGCUUGUCCUCUUGUCCUUGGCAGCAUCCCCUGCACUUCCUUGCCCUUUCCCAUUUCUCCCCUUUGGUGGCAUGACGCCCAAUAACUACCCUGUUUCCCUGAAAAUAAGACAUCCCCGGAAAAUAAGACCUAGUAGAGGUUUUGCUGAAUUUCUAAAUAUAAGACCUCCCCUGAAAGUAAGACCUAGCAAGGUUUUUGUUUGGAAGCAUGCCCGGCGCCUGCCAAUCAGAACACCAGAGCAUGCAGAAUUGGUAAAUGUACAUACCAGUUGUACAUGGAAAUAAUGGUAGUAACAAGAAAUUCUUAAUAGGAUUCACAGUUUUUCCGGUUAUGUUGGUUUGUGAUGAGAACUACUGUACAGUAUAUAAUAAAUGUUAUUUUUUUUGGUUCAACAAUGUGAAUUCUUCUUCAUGGAAAAAUAAGACAUCCCCUGAAAAUAAGACCUAGUGCGUCUUUGGGAGCAAAAAUUAAUAUAAGACACUGUCUUAUUUUCAGGGAAACACGGUAGCAAAGCGCAAAACAGUGAAACAACACACAACAUCCCUACCUGCCCUUCCGUAUUACUGAGGAAAGGCAAUUAGGUUAGUGUGGCUCUUGUGUUUUUUUGGACAAAUGAUUGAGGAACUUCAUGCAAUCCCAAUGC
rnacentral:lncRNA from 11 species